rnacentral:rRNA from 1 species
UACCAGACUCCUACGGGAGGCAGCAGUGGGGGAUAUUGCACAAUGGGGGGAACCCUGAUGCAGCGACGCCGCGUGGGUGAAGGAGUAUUUCGGUAUGUAAAGCCCUAUCGGCAGGGAAGAAGCAAGACGGUACCUGACUAAGAAGCCCCGGCUAACUACGUGCCAGCAGCCGCGGUAAUACGUAGGGGGCGAGCGUUAUCCGGAUUUACUGGGUGUAAAGGGGGCGCAGACGGCGAUGCAAGCCAGGAGUGAAAGCCCGGGGCCCAACCCCGGGACUGCUCUUGGAACUGCGUGGCUAGAGUGCAGGAGGGGCAGGCGGAAUUCCUGGUGUAGCGGUGAAAUGCGUAGAUAUCAGGAGGAACACCGGUGGCGAAGGCGGCCUGCUGGACUGCAACUGACGUUGAGGCCCGAAAGCGUGGGGAGCAAACAGGAUUAGAUACCCGCGUAC